rnacentral:lncRNA from 1 species
CUGUCUCAAGGUGAAGUUAAUCUUGUUAAAAUUCACACUGAUAGGAAUCCCUCUGAUAUGGGAACAAAAAUUCUACCUGCAAGUAAAUUUAAAUUGUGCUUAUCUUUAUUACAUAUUGACACUGAUUAAUUUUUCUUGCAGGUAGUGGGCGAUGAUGAUGAACAGUUCUUCCAUGUGCAAAUUCGCAACCAAGAGAGAGUGUUAGGAGAACCAAGGUGAAGAAUGUGAGAAUAUGGUUCACCUAACACUAUCAACUUGUGACUUGAUGGUAUUGAUGUUGACACAAUAAGGUCUUCCCACGUUUUUGGCAGAGGCAUGGUCUUUCCUUCUUAUGUAGACUUACCCUCUACCGUUUUUGAGAGGAGCAGCUCUCGAUUUUUCUCCCAGAAGAAAGUGAGCUCUCGAUUUUUUAGCAAAGGGUGGUGGUUCUUCA